rnacentral:lncRNA from 1 species
GUCAAUGUUGGGAAACAAGACCAACCAUAGAUGAUUAAGGCAAGAAUAGCUUCGAAAGCCACCAUGCUAUCGACAUUAGAAAAAUUAAAGGCUUUCUCAAUCAUAAAUUUUGAAGUCAAACCUCUGAUACCUCCUUUGAUAGUGAGCAUUAGCAUCUAUGUCAAAUUUCCUUAGGUGAAUAGCUCCAGCAAUAACUUGAGACUUCCA